UACGUAGGUGGCAAGCGUUGUCCGGAAUUAUUGGGCGUAAAGCGCGCGCAGGUGGUUUCUUAAGUCUGAUGUGAAAGCCCACGGCUCAACCGUGGAGGGUCAUUGGAAACUGGGGAACUUGAGUGCAGGAGAGAAGAGUGGAAUUCCACGUGUAGCGGUGAAAUGCGUAGAGAUGUGGAGGAACACCAGUGGCGAAGGCGACUCUUUGGCCUGUAACUGACACUGAGGCGCGAAAGCGUGGGGAGCAAA
rnacentral:rRNA from 1 species